GAAGGAUUGGUGUCUGGGUGGUGCUUUUUCAAGGCCAAGAUCGGGAUGGUUUGCGCAGGCCACAAGAAAAGACCAGUCCCUGCCCGAGGUCGCAGACUCGUCUCCCUUGGCUUGAAGUUCCUCCAGACUCUUCGUGCCUUCUCCCACCUCCGCGCCCCGGCGGCACACUGCGCUUUCUAACUCCCAGAGCCCCUGCUUCCCGGCCAGCUCUCCCGUGUUUUUCAAGGUCACCACGGUGCAUUGAGUAGAGUUCCCGGUGCUAUGCACACUCCGCCCGCGAUGCCCCAGACACCAUCCACAGUGGGAAGGACAGAAUGCAGGGUGCAGGAGCCAGAAGUCCUUUGUCUGGACCCUCUCCAUGUCCAUCUCCUUCCAUCACAGCUGUUCAGACACUCGAAUGGUAUCCGCCCUACACUGCGUGGUACCCAUUUUGGUUGCUUCUGUGUCCAUUUUCCCAGUGACAGAUGCACGUACUGGCUCCAAUUCCUGGACCUGUCUGGACUGCAUCAGGAAAUAUAAGGCAGCCCCAGUGAAAACAGCUUGGUCCCUAUCACCCUGACCCCGUGGGGACCCCCCGUGAGGCCCUAGGACACACGAGUAUAUACAGAGCCUUGGCAUGGUUCUCCCCACCACCCAAGGGUCCAUUUCCCACGAAAGGGCACCUGCUCCAUCUCCUCCAUCCUGGCCUGUGCCUAAACCCCCUGACAGACCCCGGAGCCCCAACCUAAGCCCAUGCCCAGUCUGCACCACUAACUAUAUCUGCUUCCUCUCAGCCCCCCCAAACCUUCUGCUUGGUGUU